UACGGAGGGUGCGAGCGUUGUCCGGAAUCAUUGGGCGUAAAGGGCGCGUAGGUGGCCCGGUCAGCGUGCGGUGAAAGCUCGGGGCUCAACCCCGAGUCGGCCGUGCGAACUGCUGGGCUUGAGCACUGUAGAGGCAGGCGGAAUUCCGGGUGUAGCAGUGGAAUGCGUAGAGAUCCGGAAGAACACCGGUGGCGAAGGCGGCCUGCUGGGCAGUGGCUGACACUGAGGCGCGACAGCGUGGGGAGCAAACAGG
rnacentral:rRNA from 1 species